GAUCAACGCUGGCGGCAGGCCUAACACAUGCAAGUCGAGCGCGAAAAGUUCUUCGGUACUGAGUAGAGCGGCGGACGGGUGAGUAACGCGUAGGAAUCUGUCCGGUAGUGGGGGAUAACGUUCCGAAAGGAACGCUAAUACCGCAUACGCCCCAUGGGGGAAAGAGGGGGACUCGCAAGAGCCUCUCGCUAUCGGAGGAGCCUGCGUAGGAUUAGCUAGUUGGUAGGGUCAAAGACUACCAAGGCGACGAUCCGCAGCCGGUCUGAGAGGAUGACCAGGCAUACCGGAACUGAGACACGGGCCGGACUCCUACGGGAGGCAGCAGUGAGGAAGAGUGCGCAAUGGGGGCCACCCUGACGCAGCCAGGCCGCGUGGGUGAAGGAGGCCUUCCGCUUGUAAAGCCCUUUCAGAGGGGGUGAAAUGGUGCGGGCUAAUACCCCGUGCAAUUGACGCUAUCCUCAGAAGAAGCACCGACUAAUUCCGUGCCAGCAGCCUCAGUAA
rnacentral:rRNA from 1 species